UAGUUCCAGAAAAUGGGAGGAUGAGUAAUUCUGUGGUUUAUUAAGAACAGUAUUAAUUAUGGAAGAACUAGUUAGGAGUAUAUAGUAUAGAGUACUGUAGAGGAAAGGUUUUAUCAACUAAAAAGUAAAGCUGUGCGCUUGUACCUUUUGCAUCAUGGUUUAGCAAGAGAUGGCUAUAUAGUGGUUCUCGAAACUAGAGGAGCUUCCUUGACUCCGGUUUGUAGUCACAUUUUAACUGAGUGUGGCAGAACUCAGAUAAGAGGGCAAGGAAGGUGUGAGAUUCUAUUCGUCUCUGGUGAUAGCUAGUUUCUGUAGAAAGGCAUUUAAGUGUCGCGGCUCUUAUUCUUACAGAUUUAGAUUAUGGAAUCUUAACAGUAAGUAGGGUUAGAUAAGCAUUAGAGGAUAAGCUCUAUUGGGAUAGGUUAAAAAUGCGAAAAAAAGCUAGGCCUAUAAUUAGCCAGGAAUGUAUCAGUUUGUUAUACAUGAUUGUAGAGAGCAUUGCAAAAUUGGGUUCUAAGAUUUAGAGUAUGUAGAAAUAAGUGAGUAAUUUUUACGGUCAAUAGAAUUUAUGCUAAAAUGAGUAUUGAGUUAAUAUAAAGUACGCUAUAAUGAAGUAGAGGCUUCUCUAAGUGAUAGACUACAUUAUAUAUUUCUAGAAGGAACUCGGCAAGAUUACUAUCUUCGCCUGUUUAGCAAAAACAUGGCUCUCUGCGCACAGAUAGGGAGUCGGACCUGCCCGGUGAGAUCGCUUUAACGGCCGCGGUACUUUGACCGUGCUAAGGUAGCGUAAUCAUUUGCCUUUUCAUUGGAGGCUGGUAUGAAUGGUUUGACGGGGAUAGACUGUCUCCUGGGAAAAAGUAGAAUUUAAUUUUUGGGUGAAAAAGCCCAGAUAAAAGUAUAAGACGAGAAGACCCUAUCGAGCUUUAUUCUUUGGUGAGACUCUAUAUAAUCGCUCUCCUUAGGAAUUUGGUUGGGGCGACAAAGGAGCCAAAAAAGCCUCCUUUAACUUUAUUUAGUAUGAUGGUUAUAGAUCCGGCAAAUGCUGAUUAAAAGAAUAAGUUACCGUAGGGAUAACAGCAUAAUUUUUUUAGAGAGUUCGUAUCGAAAAGAAAGUUUGUGACCUCGAUGUUGGACUAGGGUAACCUAAAGGUGCAGUAGCUUUUAAGGGUGAGUCUGUUCGACUUUUAAAAUCCU
rnacentral:rRNA from 1 species